rnacentral:rRNA from 1 species
UGACGUACUUGUACUGAUUGAGAUUUUAACACGAAGUGAGUGGCGAACGGGUGAGUAACACGUGGGUAACCUGCCCAGAAGUAGGGGAUAACACCUGGAAACAGAUGCUAAUACCGUAUAACAGAGAAAACCGCAUGGUUUUCUUUUAAAAGAUGGCUCUGCUAUCACUUCUGGAUGGACCCGCGGCGUAUUAGCUAGUUGGUGAGGUAAAGGCUCACCAAGGCAGUGAUACGUAGCCGACCUGAGAGGGUAAUCGGCCACAUUGGGACUGAGACACGGCCCAGACUCCUACGGGAGGCAGCAGUAGGGAAUCUUCCACAAUGGACGCAAGUCUGAUGGAGCAACGCCGCGUGAGUGAAGAAGGGUUUCGGCUCGUAAAGCUCUGUUGUUAAAGAAGAACGUGGGUAAGAGUAACUGUUUACCCAGUGACGGUAUUUAACCAGAAAGCCACGGCUAACUACGUGCCAGCAGCCGCGGUAAUACGUAGGUGGCAAGCGUUAUCCGGAUUUAUUGGGCGUAAAGCGAGCGCAGGCG